CUGGCUUCCGCGGCACAUCUCCUAAAGUUGGACCGAUACAGGGAUUGGCACGGCCCCUGCACAGGAUGACACGCAAAUUCAUGAGGCGUUAAAAACAAAU
rnacentral:snRNA from 1 species